UCUACCCCCCAAUUUCGAACUAGCUAAGAAAGAGCCCUGGGCUUUGGACAAUCCCAAAUCAGAUGCAGCGUGGUGGCAUCACCCGGAAGCCUUUCCUUUCUUCCCUCCCACCCUUUCUUUUUCCCUCAUUGAUCAUUUAGGAGACACUUGCAAAGCUAAGCAUGGGAUACAGACAUGAAUACAACUGCUGUGUUUCCUUGAAUACUACCCUGCAAAGAACUGGAUCUUUAGAACCAAGAAGUGAGCCUGGAGGCAUUGUCAUGCCAUCGCCUUUCGUCUACUGAAACUCACAUUUCAGAACCCUGACACUGGAAAGGAAGCGUAAGCAGCAGCCAGAACCUGAGAGGAAACAUCAUUAAGUGAAGAUCUCAUGGAGCUCAGCUG
rnacentral:lncRNA from 9 species